rnacentral:rRNA from 1 species
GACGAACGCUGGCGGCGUGCCUAAUACAUGCAAGUCGAACGGAUCGGCGGACGGGUGAGUAAUACCUAGGAAUAUGCCUGGUUGUGGGGGAUAACGACCGGAAACGGGGGCUAAUAACGCAUACUGUUGGAGGAGGAUAGGUCGGAUUAGCUAGUUGGUGGGGUAAAGGCCUCUCAAGGCGGCGAUCCGUAACUGGUCUGAGAGGAUGAUCAGUCACACUGGCACUGAGACUCGGUCCAGACUCUUACGGUGGGCAGCAGUGGGGACUAUUGGGCAAUGGGCCAGUGACUGAUCCAGCCAUGCCGCGUGUGUCAAGAAGGUCUUCGGAUUGGUGAGCACUUUAUGUUGGGAGGCGUUACCAACAGAAUAAGCACCGGCUAACUUCGUGCCAGCAGCCGCGGUAAUUC